AGUGCUGCUGUCACCAGAGGCACGGCAGCUGCACCUGCACCUCUCCCGGGCCCAGCCCCUCACCCCAGGGGUGCUUCGGUGAUCAAACAGAUAUCCAGGGAGCCUGGAACGGGAUGAGCCGCUUUGGGAUCAAAUUCCUUGCCCACCUCGUGUAAGUUAAAUUUUUGGUCUCCGAAACACAAUGCUUUGCGGUCUCCCUGUUUAGGAGAGAGAAAACAAUGGGAGAACGAAGCUGCCAAGGUACGGGAACAAAAGCCACUCUAUUCACUCUACGCCCUGCAGAAGACGAGACAGGGCUGCUACGCUACAGGCCUUGCUCGUCCAACAGACUGAGGUUAAAAAAAAAAACAA